GGAGGGAUGGCAGAGUGGCUAAAUGCGCCGGUCUUGAAAACCGGAGGGGCGAAACGCCCUCGUGGGUUCGAAUCCCACUCCCUCCG
rnacentral:tRNA from 1 species